rnacentral:rRNA from 1 species
GGUCUGACUGGGUGGUCUGGCCGAGAGGUCAGUACUGCUCUGGUUGGACUUUUACUUUCUGGGGAACCGGCGUGCACUUAACUGGGUGCGUCGUGGGAUCCAGGACUUUUACUUUGAGUAAAUUAGAGUGUUCAAAGCAGGCCUACGCUUGAAUACUUUAGCAUGGAAUAAUAGAAUAGGACUUUGGUUCUAUUUUGUUGGUUUCUAGGACCGAGGUA